rnacentral:misc_RNA from 1 species
CCUCCUUUAGGGAGACCUACCCAUAUCAGAAAUCGAAAGCGGCAGAAGGCGGAAGCCAAAAGCCGCAAAUAGAGACUGAGAUGGUUUACUCUAGGUCGGUCGAGAUUGGGAAAGCUUUCACAGUAUUAUAUCCGGUUGAACAAGAGAAAGAAGCAGCAACUGGCGAGAGUCAGACUGCUGGGUGAACUCAGCAGAAGCCAGAAAACUGCAUAGAAAAUAGAAUAGCAGGCAGACACAGAUCAUGAGAAUGAAGAGUGAUUGCCGGUGAAACACCAAUGUAAU